rnacentral:rRNA from 1 species
GAGGAAUAUUGGUCAAUGGGCGAGAGCCUGAACCAGCCAUCCCGUGUGCAGGAAGACGGCCCUAUGGGUUGUAAACUGCUUUUGCGCAUGAAGAAUGUUACCGACGUGUCGGUAAGUGACGGUAAUGCGUGAAUAAGCAUCGGCUAACUCCGUGCCAGCAGCCGCGGUAAUACGGAGGAUGCAAGCGUUAUCCGGAUUUAUUGGGUUUAAAGGGUGCGUAGGCGGCCUUGUAAGUCAGUGGUGAAAACCUGCAGCUCAACUGUAGGCGUGCCAAUGAAACUGUGAGGCUUGAGUGACGUUGAGGCAGGCGGAAUGUGUAGUGUAGCGGUGAAAUGCUUAGAUAUUACACAGAACACCGAUUGCGUAGGCAGCUUGCUAAAGGUUAACUGACGCUGAUGCACGAAAGCGUGGGGAUCGAAC